AGUUGUCGUCUCCUGCAGACCCU
rnacentral:misc_RNA from 1 species